CAUACCUAUUCGAAGGGAUAGGGUCGGUUUGGCCGGAUUUCACACAGGUGUUGCAUGGCUGUCGUCAGCUCGCGUCGUGAGAUGUUGGGUUAAGUCCCGCAACGAGCGCAACCCUCAUCCUUAGUUACCAUCAGGUUAUGCUGGGGACUUUAAGGAAACUGCCAGUGAUAAACUGGAGGAAGGUGGGGAUGAUGUCAAGUCAUCAUGGCCCUUAUGGAGUGGGCUACACACGUGCUACAAUGGUGAUUACAAUGGGCUGCAAGGUCGCAAGGCUGAGCUAAUCCUAAAAAAUCAUCUCAGUUCGGAUUGUUAUCUGCAACCCGAGAGCAUGAAGUUGGAAUUGCUAGUAAUCGUGGAUCAGCAUGCCACGGUGAAUACGUUCUCGGGUCUUGUACACACUGCCCGUCACGCCAUGGGAAUUGGUUUCACUCGAAGCU
rnacentral:rRNA from 1 species